rnacentral:rRNA from 1 species
UACGUAGGGUGCAAGCGUUAUUCGGAAUUACUGGGCGUAAAGCGUGCGCAGGCGGCUUUGCAAGUCAGAUGUGAAAUCCCCGGGCUUAACCUGGGAACUGCAUUUGUGACUGCAUGGCUAGAGUGCGGCAGAGGGGGAUGGAAUUCCGCGUGUAGCAGUGAAAUGCGUAGAUAUGCGGAGGAACACCGAUGGCGAAGGUAAUCCCCUGGGCCUGCACUGACGCUCAUGCACGAAAGCGUGGGGAGCAAACAGG